CCCACCCGGAAGGAGGCCGCUGCGCCCAGGGGACGCCCAGCCACAGACCCCUGGGCCCUGAUGGCUCACAUUCAUCUCGCCCCGAGAUGAGCCUGGGGGGGGCCACCGGGCAGGGAGAGGACCUGCCUGCGGCUGGGGAUAGCAGCCACCACAAGGAGGGAGAGCCAGCCCGUCGCCCCCUGCCCGUCCAGGAGGACUCAGCAGCCCCCAGGGCCCGGGCAGCCCACACCUCUCACAGGCCUGCAGCCCCUUUCCCUCUCCCCGCUGUGUCUCUGAGAGUUUGUCAAGUGAUGUCCCCUGGCAGGGGGUGGGGGCAGAACACUGAAAUGGGAACAAGGAUCCCAUCAAAGACAAGCCCUACCGUCCUGCCCUAAAGCCAGUGCCCAGCUCUUCCCGCCCCUGGAGCCACUGGAGGGGCCUUCGAUUCCAUGAGGACCGAAGCCUGAGCUCUCCCUCGCCUUCCACCCUGAAACCCAGUCUCCUGGAGCUGUGGGAGCAGAGAUUACACACAGGGGUCAUUCAAGACCUGCCUCCGCUGCUUACAAGUUCAGGACCUUGGAUUCCCAGAAUAUCUCUUGGAAGAGAGAACACUUUUAACAGGAACCCAAGAAAUCUCCCGCAGUUGUAGAGACCCUCGGUGCCACCUGGAUCCGGAAUCCAAAGGAGUCCUACGUUCACGACUGUCACCGCACAUGGCAGCCACCAGCCCUCGCAGGAGGGUGCCCGAGGUCCUGAUCCCGGCGUCACCAGCUCACUCUGCGAUCUUCGCCAAGCCCCUCAAUCCUUCUGCUCUGCCAUGUGCAAACCAAAGGCUCCCCGUGUCACCCUGGCUUCUCCAUGGCAGAGAAGCAGAAUCCAGAGAGGACGCGGGGUUGGCACUGAGGACCAUAGGACCGUUCUUCCCGACAGUGUGUUAUAGAUUUCUUUAGAAAUGCCACCCUCAGCAGCACGUGACUAAGGACCUGGCCGGUUAUCACCAUGUAAUCACCCUGUCCCAUGUGUCUAGGAGUUUCCUCAUUGGAGUCCUGAGGGUGCUGUGUCCCCGCACAGUCAGGACCGUCGGUCACCCUGUCUGCACUCCCCCUUGGGUGAGAAAGUGAGCAAAUCCUGGCUGGUGGUGUGUCCUCUGUUUUCCCCAAACAGACUGGGAGUGGCUCCUCCGCCGGCUGGGGGUGGGGGGUGGAGAGAAAAGACCCCUUUUAGUUUAAGAGAGAAGAGGACAGAGGCAACUUCAAGAUGGCAAAGAGGAGCUCCCUGCCUGGCUCAGCAGAAACCAAUCUGAGUAGGAUCCAUGAGGAUGCGGGUUCGAUCCCUGGCCUCCCUCAGUGGGUUAAGUCCGGCGUUGCUGUGAGCUGUGGCGUAGGUCGCAGACAUGGCUCAGAUCUGGCGUUGCCGUGGCUGUGGUGUAGGCUGGCUGCUACAGCUCUGAUUGGACCCCUAGCCUGGGAACCUCCACAUGCCGCAGGUGCAGCCCUAAAAAGACACACACACACACAAAGAUGUCAAAGAGCCUGCCUCUUGCAACUUCAAGCUGACUUGGGCUGGGAUUUUUUGGCCCGACCCAGAGCCCCUAGAUUCUUGGCUGGGGCCCGCUCUUGGCUCCUGUCUUGCUGGGUUUCCACGUGGGGCUGCGUGGCAGGGAGGGCAGGUGCGGAGCUGCUGUGGUAAAGGCCUCCUCGUGGUCACAUAGAGGUGUUUAGCUCCUCUUCAGGCCGCUGCUCACGCAGGUGUUCCCCGGCAGGACACCGGGCAUGUGCCCGCACACGUGUUCUCCUUGUCGGCACCUUCACUUGCCACCUCGACGCUGGGCCCACACACUCACCAACGGUAACCAGAGCUUAGGCUUAGGCAAAACACCCACUCGAGCUGUGUACAUAGUCACGCACACACGUGGAUGGAUGCACGGAAGAGGGACCGGGAAGUGGCACAUGGGCAGACAGAAGAUUUCCGGAGCCACCGUGGCAUGAGUGUGCUCGGGGGGUGGCAGUGGCCAUGCACACAGCACACACACACCUCCUCCAGCUGCCUGAGCUCGUCUUCAGCCAGGACUCCAGCCUGGCAGCAGUUUGGGGGCAGGCCCCGAACUUCAAGAGAUGUCCCCCCCCUCUCCCUGUCAGGCAGGAGCCUCUGGGUGGCCAGACCUGUGUGGGUACCAGAGCCUUCUGGGACAGCUCCCCGUGAGACCGGGCAGGCCUGGGCGUGCUGCGCAAGAGAGCAGGCGUGCGGGGGGUGGCUCUUACACAAUCCGCAUCCGGGCUCGGCCGGGCGGGAGAGUUGAAAGGCCCCUGGCAGCUCCCCAGGCCCUGGUGCCCGGGCAGGGAAACCACAGCCUGAAACUCCUGGGUUUCUGAAGGCGGGAUUUUUUUGGAGGCCUGCUCCACUCAGGCUGCCUCUCCGACUCUGUCAUUCCUGUGAGGCCAGCGGGCUGCCAAGCAUGUUGGGCACCGAAUCAUAGGCUUCCAGAAACUCAGCUAGGCUGGUGCCCUCAUUUCCCACCGAAUAUGGGAAGAAUUUGCUGAAGACAUUGUUCUUUUGUCCAGAGUCCCGCAAACACUGUGAAACCCACCCACUUAGCUACAGAUGGCAGCGGGAAAACGGGGUCCCGAGGACACUAACAGGUUUCCUGGGUGUGCCAGACUCUACUUUAAACAGUUUCUGAAUAUUAACUUGUUCAGUUCCUACCAUAGCCUUGGGAAGUAGGUACGAUUUUUGGCAUCUCUAUUCUUUAGAGGUGAGGAAGUAACUGCCUGAUUUCACACAACUAGCACGUAGCAGGGCUGGGCGUUGAACCCAGGCUGCUUCACUCACAUUUAUAUUCUUUUGGGUCUUUGGGGAAUCAAAAUGAUGAGAUGCCCCGUUGGGAAUACAUUGGAAAUAGCUUAGGAGCAAAGGCUGCGAAUUUAAGUGCCUAUAGGGCCAGGCAAGUGAAAUACAUAUGUGUCUGAGGCCAGCUGGCAGAGGCUGGUUGUCCCCCUGGAGGGUGUGUAGGCAACCCAGAGGUGUCCCUCAGGCACCUUUUUUAAAGAUAAAACUUGCCUGGAGGCCAUUUGAGUCCUCUGGCUUAGAGCGUCUCUAACCUAAGCCCAGUGCACCUCGGGCUGUAAAUAGAGCUGGGGCAGGAAAUGUGGGCUACCAGGGCAUACCAGUUUGUCUUGAGGGGUUUGAAAGGCCACAAAAGCAGUACGGGGCAGAGAUGCAUCAGUAAGUGAAAGUGAUAGGGAAUGGAACAAACAACCUGUUCAGAAACAGCAAAAGAGGUGAGGGGUUGCCUGUUACUGGAGGCAUGGGGCUCUUGAGAGCCUAAAUAACACCGCCACUCUUGAGCUGUCACAUACCACACUCCUGUGGCAAGAUGGAGGUCCGAGGCUACUCCUGACCCAUGGCUCACAGAACAACGCAGAUUCCUCCAUUCUAGGGUUUUAGCCCCAACUUGGUCGUGGAAUCACGUGGUUACUGCAAGUCCCUCGCUACAUAUGGAUACAUAUAUAUCCCUUGGUUUGCUGUCUUGACUUGAUAAAAGGAGAGUGAUAGGACAUUAGAGGUUUAACCUA
rnacentral:lncRNA from 1 species